GAUGAAGAACGUAGCGAAAUGCGAUAAGUAAUGUGAAUUGCAGAAUUCAGUGAAUCAUCGAAUCUUUGAACGCACAUUGCGCCUGCCAGCACUCUGGCAGGCAUGCCUGUUCGAGCGUCAUUUCAACCAUCAAGCCCUAGGCUUGCGUUGGAGCCCUGCGGCUGCCGCAGGCCCCUAAAAGCAGUGGCGGGCUCGCUAUCACACCGAGUGCAGUAGAUUACUCUUCGCUCAGGGCGUGUGGCGGGUUCCAGCCGUGAAACCCCCUACUUCUCAAGGUUGACCUCGGAUCAGGUAGUAAUACCCGCUGAACUUAAGCAUAUCAUAAGCGGAGGA
rnacentral:misc_RNA from 1 species